rnacentral:rRNA from 1 species
UAGGGAAUCUUCCGCAAUGUGCGAAAGCCUGACGGAGCAACGCCGCGUGAGUGAUGAAGGUCUUCGGAUCGUAAAACUCUGUUAUUAGGGAAGAACAAAUGUGUAAGUAACUAUGCACGUCUUGACGGUACCUAAUCAGAAAGCCACGGCUAACUACGUGCCAGCAGCCGCGGUAAUACGUAGGUGGCAAGCGUUAUCCGGAAUUCUUGGGCGUAAAGCGCGCGUAGGCGGUUUUUUAAGUCUGAUGUGAAAGCCCACGGCUCAACCGUGGAGGGUCAUUGGAAACUGGAAAACGUGAGUGCAGAAGAGGAAUGGGGAAUUCCAUGUGUAGCGGUGAAAUGCGCAGAGAUAUGGGGGAACACCAGUGGCGAAGGAGACUUUCUGGUCUGUAACUGACGCUGAUGUGCGAAAGCGUGGGGAUCAAGCAGG